rnacentral:rRNA from 1 species
AACGAACGCUGGCGGCAUGCCUAACACAUGCAAGUCGAACGAAGCCUUCGGGCUUAGUGGCGCACGGGUGCGUAACGCGUGGGAAUCUGCCUUUUGCUUCGGAAUAACAGUUAGAAAUGACUGCUAAUACCGGAUGAUGUCCCCCUGAGAGAUCUUGGGGACCAAAGAUUUAUCGGCAAGAGAUGAGCCCGCGUAGGAUUAGGUAGUUGGUGGGGUAAAGGCCUACCAAGCCGACGAUCCUUAGCUGGUCUGAGAGGAUGAUCAGCCACACUGGGACUGAGACACGGCCCAGACUCCUACGGGAGGCAGCAGUGGGGAAUAUUGGACAAUGGACGCAAGUCUGAUCCAGCAAUGCCGCGUGAGUGAUGAAGGCCUUAGGGUUGUAAAGCUCUUUUACCAGGGAUGAUAAUGACAGUACCUGGAGAAUAAGCUCCGGCUAACUCCGUGCCAGCCGCCGCGGUAAUAC